GACGAACGCUGGCGGCGUGCUUAACACAUGCAAGUCGAACGUAAAGGCCCUUCUUUUGUGGGGUGCUCGAGUGGCGAACGGGUGAGUAACACGUUAUUAACCUUCCCUUUACUUUGGGAUUACUUCAGGAAACUGGGGCUAAUACCUGAUAGGAUCUCCUUCUGCAUGGUGGGGGUUGGAAAGUUUCGGCGGUUGGGGAUGGACUCGCGGCUUAUCAGCUUGUUGGUGGGGUAGUGGCUUACCAAGGCUUUGACGGGUAGCCGGCCUGAGAGGGUGACCGGCGACAUUGGGACUGAGAUACGGACCAGACUCCUACGGGAGGCAGCAGUGGGGAAUAUUGCACAAUGGGCGGAAGCCUGAUGCAGAAACGCCGCGUGCGGGAUGACGGCCUUCGGGUUGUAAACCGCGUUCGCCUGUGACGAAGCGUGAGUGACGGUAAUGGGUAAAGAAGCACCGGCUAACUACGUG
rnacentral:rRNA from 1 species